rnacentral:rRNA from 1 species
ACACGACUACAUUAGAUACCCGUGUAGUCCCAGCCCUAAACGAUGCGCGUUAGGUGUAUCGGUGACCACGAGUCACCGAGGUGCCGAAGGGAAACCGUGAAACGUGCCGCCUGGGAAGUACGGUCGCAAGGCUGAAACUUAAAGGAAUUGGCGGGGGAGCACCACAACGGGUGGAACCUGCGGUUUAAUUGGACUCAACGCCGGGAAGCUCACCGGAUAAGACAGCGGAAUGAUUGCCGGGCUGAAGACCCUGCAUGACCAGCUG